GGAAAACGAAACAAAUUGAAUGUAUGGUUCACUACAAGAAGACACAUACAAAUAUAAAUGUCAAAGAAAGAUCUAGCCAUCCCUCCUCGACGAAGAAAGGUAUAAUUAAAGGAUUUGCAGAUCGGGCUCGAGCAUUAUGCGAUCCUGGAUAUGUAGAAGAGGAACUGAAGAACAUCGAAGAUGUGUUUGUGGCUAAUGGGUAUGAAAGAGAGACAGUGAAACGGUGUAUGAAAAGCAAAGAGGAAGAUACGAAUGAGUCGGCAGAGUCUAAAGAUGAGGAGUGUUGUAGAUGAAUGGUGGUACCGGUUAUACCAUAUUUACAAGGAAUGUCAGAACAGUUCAAGAGAGUCGUUAAGAAGCAUCUUUCCGUACCGCAUUCAGACCUGGGAAUAAAGUGAGACAAAUGAAAACAAAGGCACAGAAACCACUGGGAGAGAAACGGAAGAUUGUUGUUUACGAAGUUCCUUGCAAAUGUGAUGAGGCGGUUUAUGUGGGAGAGACUUGGCGCUUAUUUGGAACUAGAAAGAAAGAGCAUAUGAGUAAAGUUCGGUUGACGGAAGAGGACAUAACUAGAAUGGAAAACUAGAGUCGGCAAAAAGAAAGGAUGGGAAAGGAAGAUGGAGGUUUGACGAGACAUAGCGUUGAUUGCCAGAGUGGGAUUGAUUGGGAAAAGGCACGAGUGAUAAAUUAAAAGUGGGAUUAAAACAGAGGAAAGUAAGAGAAGGAAUUGAGUCUUUAAGAGAACAAUAUAAUGGCUACACGAUUUUAAACAAUUUCGAACAAUUGGUGAUGUGGAGACCAUUGUCAUAGAUUAAGUAAGGACAGAUGUGUAACUUCAGGAAAAAAGUUGUCCCAUGGUCGCCAUCUUCCUAGCAAGUGUCGCUCGCGUGAUUAUUCGUCAUUUGGUAGUACGUCAUUGCCUUUAAAAAUGUUUUCAACACCUUUUCUACAACUUUAAUUGCUUUUAACAACUUCAAACAUUCAACAAAUGAUGCUCUUGAUUGUUUAAUCCAUAAAUUUUGACCCAAGAAAGCCGCAAUAAAAAUGCAAAAGGAGUUCAUGUUUUCCAGGACGCCAUCUUCCUAGCAAGUGUCAUGGUGUGAGCAUGACGUGUACAUCUAGGGAAAUUUGAGGACACGAAAUCCAAUUAAGUUACAUAUCUGGUAUAUACUUCAUCUGUGCCAUUGUUAAAUAAGUAUUUUAAGAAAGAACAAUUGUAAACAGGAACACGCGCGCGCAAGUGGAUAAUGACGCGCGCGCGAACUGACGUGACUGACAGUUAAAGUCGUCAGCAUUUUUUAAUAUAACCACAGAAUAGAAAAUAGACCAGAAGCCUCACUUAGCCAAAAUUAUGUCCGAGAUUUUUUAUGCGCAGGCGCGAGCCAGCAAGUGUAAUCACGACGCCAUCAAACGCCAUCACUAGGUAAUAAAGAUUGCUGUUUUAACCGUUUUGCUGACGAACGCUGUUCGCAGCAAAGUGUCACAAGUGAACGUGAUGUUCGCAGCAAGUGUCACACACGUCAUCUAGCGUGCGAAAUUCGUGAUCCGCAAGGCGAAAAUCGCGGACACGAAAAUGUUAGGAAAAGAUAUACAGUGAGGCUUCUGGUCCAUUUUCUUUUCUGUGAUAUAACGUUAACAACAGUUGUCGCCUGAAGACGGACAUUUAAAAUGUCCGAAACGUUGCAAAUUUAAAUAAAUUAACCUUUUGUAUAUAUCCUUGAGAAAUAAAAAUAAGAAAUAAACAAAAAUAUAGUUUAAAAUAUUUAUUAGAAAGCUAAUCUUUCGUCUUUAACUUAAAAAAGCUUCGGAGCAAUGACACACAAAGCGGAAAA